GUCACCUGCAAAUACAUUAACAUCAGAUACAAAGCACAAAUAAAUAAUCUUAAUAUAAAUAAGUUCUUCCAUGAUUUCAUAGGAGGGCAGAAGAUAUGAAUAUAUACCUUUUGAACAGCAUGAUCAAAGUCUUCCAGUGAACCAUAUUCUCUCUCAAAUUGCAGCCAUGAAUGGCAGAUAUCCUGAAUGAAGUUGCUUUUUAGGAUUAACAGUACCAUACAAUCCAAUAUAUCACAUCUACAUAACUAGAACAUAACAAGAAGUGAUUCGUAAAACCAGCACAAUGGUAAGCUACUACCACAACUAUAAUUAAAUUGGAAAGUGUUAGCACAUGUUGAUACAGCUCUUGGACACUCUGGCUCAAAAUAGAGGAUGCAGGCCAAAUGACUGAAUUUUGCCACUCAGUACUUCUGAUCACGGGGUUAAGAAGUUACUAAACACAUGAGUUACUACUCGUUGAAGUUCAAGAAGGCUUUUAGCUGUCCGGAUGAUUGUUUUCUGCAGUCACAAAGUCAUGAAUUGUGUUGGUUCUGAAAAAAGGUCGGCGUUUGAACUUCCUUACUUUGAUAUGAGACUCGUAAUCCGACGGAUUGGCGUUCAGGGAUUUCUCGAGUGCGUCAAUCUGCUCAAUUACUUGGG